ensembl:lncRNA
UACAUCCCAUCAGUCAUAUCUUUAUUUUCAGAAAAAGCAGGAAAUAUCUCAUUAAAGAAUAAAAUCAUCCAUUUCAUGUACAUCUCACAAAACAAAUUCCUUCAAAUUGGCUCACUCCACCCCCCCCUACUUAAAUAGCAAUGAUUGGCUGCAGCUGGGGGACCAUGUAAACAGAAGAACUGUACAGAGAACAGAUACUGCACUCAGUCACAUCUUAGAUACAGAAACCACACGCAGAAUGUCAUUACAAAUAAAAACAUUAUACAUAGGGAGACCAUGUACAGACCGUGUACUGAAUAAUAUUCAGAAGCACCUCAAAUAAAAUGUAUAAAAACAAAAUAGUCCUCUGUAUCAAAUGGGACAUUUUUCAUGUGUGAUGAAAUAAUCUAAAAACAUGGUUUCCUUCCUGAGGAUUAAAAAGCAGAUAGUUGAGCCCUGAACGGGACAGCAUGACUGCAGUCUCACUACAUCUCUACACCAGCCGUUACAUUAAAUUAAACAAAUCAUCUUAUUUCCACUGAGGCAGCUUGGUAAGCAGGCCAGGGCUAGACAUGUUAUGUAAGAGCUUUAUAAAACCAUACAAUGUCAUGAUAAAACGGAAACAUCUCCGGGGAACAUUCUGUCUGACAGAGUAGGAAAGCGAUGGCAAUUGUACAGCGCAGAAAUGUUCCACAAUUCCCCCUUGUGAACAAUGUGAGCUUUCUACUAGGUGGGGCAUUAAAUCCUAUAACUACAUGCUUACCAACAUGGGUGGGAGUAACAGCCAUGGAGGUUCAGAAAAAUACUCUAAUCCAAGGCCACACCUUAUUGAGUUGGGGCCUUAACGGAUACAUGAAAAUGGUUUUAAAGGAAAUCACUCAUCUCAAUUGAAAUGUAUUUUAUUCCACAUUUGGCAGGGGACGUGAUCCACUUAAGAGUCUGUUUGUGGGGAAACCACACCCUGGACUCCUGAGAGUUGAUAGUCUGGUAUAAUGCCUUCUGAAACGUGUAUACAUAGGACUAGAGCCAGGAGCUUUUCCUAGUCAGGACAAACUCCUGGCCUCACAUGGGAGAUGCUGAUAUUGAGGGUGAAAUCUAAAGAGAUGUGACCAGAACAACACAAUCAAGUAGUGUGUUUAUGAUAAGGAACACUCCUUUAGUGGGUGACAAAGCUUUUCAAAAUAAUGUGACUAUCACCAAUCGUGGUACAAUAUAAUCUAGUGCACGGAUCUGAUUUGGGUGAACUACCAGUGCACGGAUCUGAUUUGGGUGAACUACCAGUGCACGGAUCUGAUUUGGGUGAACUACCAGUGCA